GAUACUAUCACAAGCAACUACUUCCAGCUCCAGCUUUUCCCCGAGCAUGUGCCUGGCUCAGGUGCCUGUAGAUAACUUUAUGAUGUUGAAGCUGAUAAGAUAAUUAAGCUGCUAAAGGCAGACAGCAUUUGAGGAUAAAUCUGGCAGCUGCUCUGUGAAGUGGCUUUGAUUGAAAGCUGUGCCCUGGUUGGGUGAGCUGUACAAACCAUGCUCCAGAGCCAACAAAAACCACCUUUCUGGCACAGAGAAAAGUGUCAGACUGAUUCACAGGAUCACAGGUAGACCAGCUUCCUUUGACCUCUGGAGCUGGAAGAGAGAUAUAGGAAGGAAGAGCUUUCUCACGGUAAGUGCAGGAGCCUAUGCUGCUCAUUCCCCCCAUGGAUCAAAACAGGAAGCAUUUGCUGGCAGCAUCCCCUUGUCUCUCUGCAUCACUCUCUCCCCUGCCCAAUGCUUCCGAAGGUGUGUU